rnacentral:misc_RNA from 1 species
ACAUACAUUAGCCUCCAUUACUCCUCCUCUAAGUCAAGUAUUUACAGUGUAGACUUUAAUUCCGUAUCAAAAUGAUGCCAACUCUCUGACUACAUUGAUGCUAAAACAAUAAAAAAGAAGAUUAGAAAUUCAGCAUUAAAACCUACCACCAAACCCUAAAUCAGAAAAAAAAAAAAAAGAAAAUCACACAAACUCAAAACCAACUGUUCUAGAGAACAAAAUCAGUUGAACCUUUUUCUGAAAUCAGAUCAUAAUUCAGCGACGUGCACCAUUUGUCUGUCAACAAAAAUAUUAUACUAUGAAAUGAAUCUACCUAAACCCUAUUUAUUCCUAUUCUUUCGAUUGGUUUAACUAAAUCUGAUACAAACAAUCAGCAAACAGAGCGAUUAGUUUAGUUGGGCAGAUAAAACAGAACUAUCAACCAUACAAUGCAAAGACCUACAAAGUUUCUCAAUUCAGGACUUUCUCGGGAACCAAACAGAGUCUAUCAUUGAAAUUCAAUUGACCAAACAAGCAGAAGGCAAAAACAAAGAAAUUAAAAACGGACAACAUGCAAAAAAAGAAACAUACACCUCUGAAAUCAAGCCAAACAACACAAUUCCCCGAUUUGAAUGAGAAUUACGAUCGAAAACAGGGAAUCAGGGCAAAACAAACAUAAAUAAAAAAUGGAAGAAGCUCGAUUCAUUUGAAUUAUACAAAUCUGACAAGGGUAGAAGGCAUUUACGUGGAUUUAGAAAGGCGCAUGCAUAGAUAGGGAAACAGAGAUAUGAGAAGAGGUGGAUUUGAAUUGAAUUCUAAGUACCUGAUCACUUCAUUUUAAGGUAGAAGAAAGAAACGGCGACUUGAAAUUAGGGUUUUUUUGUUUGUUUUGCUGUUGAUGUUGCAGAAGGAAGGGGGGGAUAGAGAGAGGUAGGGGAGGAAAAUCCAGGUGGAGAGGAAAAUCACAAGAUGCAUUUAU